rnacentral:rRNA from 1 species
UACGUAGGGGGCAAGCGUUGUCCGGAUUUAUUGGGCGUAAAGAGCGUGUAGGCGGCCAUACAGGUCCGUUGUGAAAACUGGAGGCUUAACCUCCAGACGUCGAUGGAAACCGUAUGGCUAGAGUCCGGAAGAGGAGAGUGGAAUUCCUGGUGUAGCGGUGAAAUGCGCAGAUAUCAGGAAGAACACCCGUGGCGAAGGCGGCUCUCUGGACCAUUAUUGACACUGAGGUACGAAAGCGUGGGUAGCAAACAGG